UCCUGCAAAGCAUCUUUGGAGGUAUAAUCCCAUGCUAAAGAGGGCUGGGAUUCAAGGUGUGCUUUCCUUUGGGGGCCACUUGUAACACGGUGGCCAGGUUUCACUAUACCAGCACUGACUUGUGAUGAAAAUCCAGUCAGUGUGAGUAGCUUCUCUGGAACAUCUGGGGCCUGCAGCAGCUGGAGAAGAAAUGAGGCUGUGUAAUUACAACGUCUGCAUACAGCUGGUGAUGCAGCUUCCUGCACUGACUCUGUCCGCAGCAGCCCUGCCCUCCCUCUGAUUUCUGCAGUGCGUGCAUCACCGUUAUUGCAAAAAAGAAGAAGGAGACGAAGAAGGGGAAGGAGAAGAAAAAGAAAAGCCUGCUUCAGUGCAUUUGAAGUAUGGAACAGUGAUCAUUUUAAAUCACAGUCAAUUGCCCAGCUUUUCACUUGAAUAAAAUUCAGGUACCAUUUAGUUCACAAAGAUAAUUUUACUUUGAGAUUUACAGCUGAGCCUCUCAUCUAAAGCAAUCUUCCUCACCAUCCCCCAGCCCUAUUUCUUUUUUACCCUCAAACCCACAAGGCUGCAUUUAAACAUGAUGAAUCAAGAGUAAAAUAUAAUGGAAGUAGCUGCUGUAUUAGAAAAACGUACCGGGAAUCUCUGAGAAUACAUGAUAUAUUUCUUUCAUAAUAUCAAAAAUGGGGCAGGCUGUGCUUUGGAGUGAGGCCACUAUGGUGUCCCACGUAGGAAGUGUCCCCAGAGAACCACAAGUCCCAGGCCUGAGUGCUCAUUAGUAAGCAGGUCAGAAGCCGUACUCUGGAGAGGCCCAGCCAAGUGGGGUCACUGCCAAGGAAUGGGAGAUGCCCUGGUGUACACGACAAAUUCUCCAAUGCGUUGGGUCCAUACUUAGCACAAUCACAUAGGAAGCCCUAUUCUACGACAUGAAUCUCAG